rnacentral:rRNA from 1 species
GAUGAACGUUGGCGGCGUGCCUAAUACAUGCAAGUCGAACGGAGAUUGUAGCAAUACGGUCUCAGUGGCGAACGGGUGAGUAACGCGUUGGUGACCUGCCCCGAAGUGUGGAAUAACAGAUCGAAAGAGCUGCUAAUACCGCAUAAUAUCCAGAGGACUAGAUGCCUUUGGAUUAAAGGAUUUAUUCGCUUCGGGAGGGGCCUGCGUCCCAUCAGCUAGUUGGUAAGGUAAUGGCUUACCAAGGCGAUGACGGGUAGGGGACCUGAGAGGGUGGCCCCCCACAAUGGAACUGAAACACGGUCCAUACACCUACGGGUGGCAGCAGUAGGGAAUAUUAGUAAUGGGCGAAAGCCUGAACUAGCAACGCCGCGUGUGCGAAGAAGGCCUUCGGGUUGUAAAGCACUUUUUGAGAGGAUGAGGAAGGACGGUACUCUCAGAAUAAGUCUCGGCUAACUACGUG